AUGGUUCAAACUUUUCAACCUUACUCUCUUCACCAAUUGUCUGAUGAAGAUUGUUGGUCAGUGUUUGCAAACAAUGCUUGCCUUUCACCAGAUGAGAAUAUGGAUCUCCAAAAAAUUGGCAAACAGAUCGUUAGGAAGUGUAAGGGAUUGCCUUUAGCAGCACAGUCACUUGGGCGCUUGUUGCGAGAAAAACGUGAAAUCAGGGAUUCAAAUAGUAUACUUAAUAAUAAUAUCUGGGAGAAUAAGAGUAAGAUCAUUCCAGCAUUGAGUGAGAAUUAG